rnacentral:misc_RNA from 1 species
UAUUUUAUAGCUUUAACUUUGAUUUUAUUUUUAUGUUUUUUAAAUAUUGGUGUUUUUGAAUCGUGUUGUUUAAAUAACAUAAAAAAUAAAAUAUAUAUUGACAUGUAUUAAACAAAGAUAUAUAUUAUUUUAUGUUGUAUAAAUAAAUUGGCAAAAUAGAGAUGGAAGAUAAAAAUAUGGUCAAAGUAAUAAGAGUCUAUGGUGAAUGCCUAGGAA